UACAGAGGUCUCAAGCGUUGUUCGGAUUCAUUGGGCGUAAAGGGUGCGUAGGCGGCGCGGUAAGUCGGGUGUGAAAUCCCGGAGCUCAACUUCGGAACUGCCUCCGAUACUGCCGUGCUUGAGGACUGGAGAGGAGUCUGGAAUUCACAGUGGAGCAGUGAAAUGCGUAGAUAUUGUGAGGAACACUAGUGGCGAAGGCGAGACUCUGGACAGUUCCUGACGCUGAGGCACGAAGGCCAGGGGAGCAAACGGG
rnacentral:rRNA from 1 species